rnacentral:rRNA from 1 species
CGGACGGGUGAGUAACACGUGGAUAACCUACCUACAAGACUGGGAUAACUUCGGGAAACCGGAGCUAAUACCGGAUAAUAUUUUGAACCGCAUGGUUCAAAAGUGAAAGACGGUCUUGCUGUCACUUAUAGAUGGAUCCGCGCUGCAUUAGCUAGUUGGUAAGGUAACGGCUUACCAAGGCAACGAUGCAUAGCCGACCUGAGAGGGUGAUCGGCCACACUGGAACUGAGACACGGUCCAG